rnacentral:rRNA from 1 species
AACGAACGCUGGCGGCGUGCCUAAUAUAUGCAAGUCGAGCGCGAAAGGAGCAAUCCGAGUAGAGCGGCGCACGGGUGCGUAACACGUGGGUAAUCUGCCUCAGGGUUGAGGAUAACCUUCCGAAAGGUUGGCUAAUACUCGGUAAGCUUACGGUGACUUCGGUCGCUGUGAGAAAACUAGACCUCUAUUUAUAAGUUUAGGCCCAUAAGUAAUCCCGCGGCCCAUCAGCCAGUUGGCGGGGUAACGGCCCACCAAGGCAACGACGGGUAGCUGGUCUGAGAGGACGAUCAGCCACACUGGAACUGAGACACGGUCCAGACUCCUACGGGAGGCAGCAGUGGGGAAUUUUCCACAAUGGGCGAAAGCCUGAUGGAGCAACGCCGCGUGUGUGAUGAAGGUCUUCGGAUCGUAAAGCACUUUCGACCGGGACGAAAAACCUCUGGCUAACAUCCAGGGGCCUGACGGUACCGGGAGAAGAAGCACCGGCUAACUCUGUGCCAGCCGCCGCGGUAACAC